GGGGGUAUAGCUCAAUUGGUUAGAGCAAUCGCCUGUCGAGCGAAAGGUUGCGAGUAUGCCUACGGCACGCUACGCGAACAAUUCUCGUUACUCCCG
rnacentral:tRNA from 1 species